ACCUCAUUAGCUGCGUCA
rnacentral:snRNA from 1 species